GUUCUCUGCUAGAUCUCGCCGUGAUCGCCUUCCUUGCGCACUUUUGGUUAUUGAUCCUGCUGGAGGCUGUGCUUCCCUGGGGACGAAGGGAGUGGGGAGAUGAAUGAGUAGGCUAGGAAAAUGAUGGUGGAGAGGAGAGGUUAAUAAACUUUAGGAGAGGGUGUAGGCGUUCCUCAGUGGCCCAGAGCCGCCC
rnacentral:lncRNA from 1 species